CCGUGCUUCCCGACCGUUUUCUUGUCUUUUUUCUUCUCGAACCCGUGACGAUCGUCGCGUCAGCCUCGAGAGGCCCGGUCGCCCUCGACUCUCGUCUCUUCUGGUUUCUUAUUCCACCGCGUCCGGUCCCUUCGCGAAUCCCCUUCCCUCUGGUUCCAAAUCGAUCGCCGGCGGUGUGAUGGCGGCGGUGGUGAAAAAUCUCUUGGAUUUCCUUACCCAAUUGCGCAACUUUCUCUUCAUCGGUUGCCUGCUCGAAUCGAUCUAGGGUUUCCUUUCCCUGUCUGCGAUCAUCGGGCUAGAAGCCAGCCAUGCUCCAUCCAAAGGCUUGAAAUUUCAAAAAAAGAAAGAGAAAAAAGAGCGGAGCCCUUGUUUCGUGCGGCUGCAGCCUGCGGAGGAGAUGGGGGCUCGAAAGCCCUCUUUCUCGCUCACCCCUCUCCCUCACUCCCUUCCUCCCUCUCUCUCUCUCCCUUCCUCCCUUUCUCCCUCUAUUUCCUUCUCCCUUUCCCCUUCCCUUGCCAGACUUCUCCGAAGAGGGUGGUUCGGAACAGUACCGUCUUCAUUGUUUCCAGACUUUCUAAAGAUUUUGUUGGAAGUGCAUCAGAAUUAUUUCUUAUUUCUUAUUGAACGUUUGUUUACAGGAGAGUCUUAUUGAUUCAGAUGUUUCUUUAAGCUACUAAUAAUUUACUAACUGGUUUGACAUUCAAAUUAUAGGAUUGCUUUUAUAUACAUGGAUGAUGAAUGUGAUGCAGAGGAUGGAAUUCACGGAUUGGACCAGAUAUGAUUUGAGAGACGCGGAUACCGGCUUCAUGUUGAGUGGACAAAGUUGAUUACUGGCUAGCAUAUCUACUUGCUAACUGCUAUUUCUACAUGCCCUUUGUUAUUCAGGCAUGUGACUAUAUGCAUAUAAUGAUUGAUUUGGAUGGUGUGACAUUGGAUCUGAUAUCUUAAGAACCGAAGUGCUGGUUUUCUUCUUUGUGGAAUGCCUGGGCCAUUUAAUGGGUGAACUGAUUAUUUGCGAUCAUUAGUGGGUCGAGCUACCACAUCAGGAGCCAUGAAUCCCUCAGUAGUCGUUAAAAUCUAGAAAUAUUCCUUGGAUUUGGUGACCACCCAAUACCAAAUGGGAACAACUGUUGGAGUAUGACUUGAUUAGGGUGCACAUUCACGGUUGGUGCAUGCUCAUGGUAGCUUUGUGCAUCAAUGGAUACAUGUUAGUUUUAAUUAAGAGGGCUUGUAUUUUUUAGCUGGCUCAUGUGUGGCCCAUGUCUUGUAAUCUGAUUGGCCUAUGAGCCUGUUGCCACAAUAUGGUUGUCGUGUGUGCCAUUGUACCAUCUCCAACACCUCAUUGUUGCAGUAGGUUAACAAGUGAAUUUCGAAACAAGACUCAUGAAUCAGACCAAGACUGUUUACUUCCCUCCUGCUCCUGCAUGGUAGCAUUGUAAGAGGAAACAUUUGCCUUAUUCAUUCUGCUCUUUCAUAAAAAGGAAUGAGGAGAUGCUUUUCCUAUUUGGUUCAUUUUUGUUGAUAGUUGUCGGUGGAAAUCAUAUUUUGCAGCCCGAAAAUUUCAACUAGGAGCUCAUGUUUUGAGGCAUUGAGUAGAAAGGAGCAUGGAGGUGUAGCUCUGUUCAUAGCACAGAUGUGGCAGAAUGUGGUGUUAUUCUUUGAGCCCGUGUUAACAUUUAUCUAACAUCGUAGUUGACCCUGAUGAAGAGCUUGUUAGGGAUGCAUGGCCUAUAUCUUAAGUAUUUAAGUUCAAAAGUUUGUACUUGCUAUCUUGUAGCUGAUACAAUCAGAUACUUGGUAAAGGCAGAAGCAAUGUAUGUUUCGACCUAUUUGUGUGAGAGUUGCUGAAAUCAAUGAUAAUUGAAAGAGACUAGGUUGAUGUUAUGAAGAGGUCAGAAGGCAACUGAGCUUGAAUUUCUUUAGAAAUUGUUGUCCAAACUAAAGUGCCAGAGUUGCUAGAGAAUUGUUCACUUUAUAAUAUUUCUAGUUAGAAUUCAAUUGA